UCCGCAGGUGACAGCCCUGCGAUGCUGCGGUGCCUGCGAGGUGAUGCCGCCGUGCUCGUUGCUGCUUCCUGGUAAGGAAAGGCCUCCUCCGCUCCUGCUGCAGCGUGGUGGUGUGUCGGACACGAUUCCCUGUGUCGGGUGAGGCCUAGGGCUGCCGGCGAGGUGGAGGACGGCCUAGAGUCUGGAGCUGCAGAAGAGGCAGGGCGGAGAGGAGGGGAAAGAAGCAUCUGAACGGCUAAAUUGUGCCAGCAGCGCUGAGAGCGAGAGUCGCGGUGGAGGACGGCCUAGAGUCUGGAGCUGCAGAAGAGGCAGGGAGGAGAGGAGGGGAAAGAAGCAUCUGAACGGCUAAAUUGUGCCAGCAGCGCUGAGAGCGAGAGUCACGGUGAGUCCUGGGCCACUGGGGCCCCGUUGCCUCUCUUGUGCGUCCUGGGCCCUCCCUGUCCCUCCCCCGGCCCCCUCUCUUUCCUUA